GACGAACGCUGGCGGCGUGCUUAACACAUGCAAGUCGAACGAAGAGCGAUGGAAGCUUGCUUCUAUCAAUCUUAGUGGCGAACGGGUGAGUAACGCGUAAUCAACCUGCCCUUCAGAGGGGGACAACAGUUGGAAACGACUGCUAAUACCGCAUACGAUCUAAUCUUGGCAUCGAGGAUAGAUGAAAGGUGGCCUCUACAUGUAAGCUAUCACAGAAGGAGGGGAUUGCGUCUGAUUAGCUAGUUGGAGGGGUAACGGCCCACCAAGGCGAUGAUCAGUAGCCGGUCUGAGAGGAUGAACGGCCACAUUGGGACUGAGACACGGCCCAGACUUCUACGGGAGGCAGCAGUGGGGAAUCCUCCGCAAUGGACGAAAGUCUGACGGAGCAACGCCGCGUGAGUGAUGACGGGCUCCGGGUUGUAAAGCUCUGUUAAUCGGGACGAAAGGCCUUCUUGCGAAUAGUGAGAAGGAUCUACGUACCGGAAUA
rnacentral:rRNA from 1 species